UAAUGGAAUGUGUGGAAAGCUUUCUCAUAUAAGCAAAAUAAAAAGCCCCACUGUGAUUUGCACUUGACUCAUAUAGGUACAGUUAUGCAACUUUAUUUAGCUUGUUAUGUUUAUUGCACUUUAUUAAAUAAUUUGUUAUUGAUAAUGUGGAAUUAGGCGAGUUGCAUUAUGAUUAAAUGCAAUAGCUUGUUCUUCCUCACAUAUUUAAUUGCUAAAACCAAGAAUGCUAAGGGGUUUGGAGAAUUGAUGAUCAGAGUUGGGGGUUUUAAUUGCAAAGAUCCAGGAUUGAUUAAUAUUUUAAAUAUUUCUGUGAUACUCUACACAGAAUAUCCACAAGAGGGAACUGUUUUACAUAAAGAGGAGUCAUUUCCUUGCUGCUAAAACACUGCUUUCUGGAACCAAAUCCUCCAGAAUUACAUUGAGUUGGCAUGAUUGUGUCCUGGACUAUGCUACAUGGUACGAACGGGAAAAACACAGAUAUUUCCUAGUAAGGAAACUUUCAAGUGCUAAGUCUGCAGCCUCUCUGUCAAAUCUGGACCCUCUCAAAGAGCAGCAAGAGAGGACGUAUGUCACAGCCACGGCUUCAGAGACUCAGUUCUUGUUAUCUGCCAGACCAGAAUAUGGAAGAAAUUCCACCAUGCAAAAGCCUUCCCUGGGAUACGCUGUGCAGCUGCUCUUCACUGUCCUCAUCUUUCAAGGUGCACAGGGUUUGUAGUUUCUAUUAGCUGAAAGAGUGCCUGUAAGUACCUGGCACUUCUGAAGAUCAGACAUCAAGUGCCUGUGUUACGAUGCUCCUGCCCUUGUUCCACUCCUGGUGUUUGCUGAUGGAUAAAAAGAUCCCUAUGUGUGUGUGCAGCUGUGAAAAGGGUGUUCCUCACAGAAGGCAGAGCAAAUGACCAUGGGGACCAGGUUCUGAGCCCAGGACCCAAGGCUGUGUGAUCCUUUGCAGACCAGGUGGCUCUCAGC